rnacentral:rRNA from 1 species
CGCAGCCGCGGUAAUUCCAGCUCCAAUAGCGUAUAUUAAAGUUGUUGCAGUUAAAAAGCUCGUAGUUGAAUUUCGGGAUCAGUACGCCGGUCGUGCCUCUGGUAUGUACUGGUGUUACUGGUUCCUACCUUCUGACGAACUGUCAUGUCAUUAAUUUGGUGUGGCGGGGAAUCAGGACUGUUACUUUGAAAAAUUAGAGUGUUUAAAGCAGGCUCGCGCUUGAAUACAUUAGCAUGGAAUAAUGAAAUAGGACGUUCGAUCCUAUUUUGUUGGUUUCUAGGAUUGACGUAAUGAUUAAUAGGGAUAGUUGGGGGCAUUAGUAUUCAAUUGUCAGAGGUGAAAUUCUUGGAUUUAUUGAAGACUAACUACUGCGAAAGCAUUUGCCAAGGAUGUUUUCAUUAAUCAAGAACGAAAGUUAGGGGAUCGAAGACGAUCAGAUACCGUCGUAGU